rnacentral:snRNA from 1 species
GUGCUCGCUUCGGCAGCACAUAUACUAAAACUGGAGCAAUACAGAGAAGAUUAGCAUGGCCCCUGCACAAGGAUGACACCCAAAUUCGUGAAGUGUUCCAUAUUUAA